UGUUCUGACAGCUUUAACAAAUGCUUUGUAAGGUCAGAAUCCAUAGUUCUACUUUAUUUAGAAUAAUGUUAAAAAGAAAGACAUUUUUCUCGUCUUCAAUUACUUCUGCAUCUUCUGUGUCUAUGGAUGAAGAGAGCUACUCUGACCUGAUGCAAAAAUAGGUGCAAAAUAUCUCAUCUGUGAAGUAAUUCUGGGAAUUAAUAAUCAUCACAACCACUGGACAUUAGUGGUGAUCUACCCACAAGCCAAAAGAUCUUUGGUCUUGGAUCCACUGGGGGAGUCAAAGCAAGACAUCCAGAAAUGUUUGCAAAGCUCAAGGGCAUUUAUGAGGAAGAAGGGAUGCAGUGUGUCAAGGUGGACAUGUGAUACUGUCAAACAUCCCAAACAACAGGACAAUACAUCAUGUGGAGUAUUUGCAUUGAAGUUUGCAGAAAGACUCCUUGCAAAAGAGGCUGUGGAUUUCCCUGUUUCCACAGAGGCGGUUAACAGCCUCAGGUUUGACAUUGCUGUGAGACUUCUCCUUAACAGUGAUGACUUAGAAGACUUGUACCACUUCUACGGAGAGAUGGAAAAAGAGACGGACUUGAACUGGAUCCAAUGUGAGAUGUGUCUGAGGUGGUUUCAUCAGGCAUGUGUGGAAAGCCCACCAACAGAAAACACAUUUAAGUGCUUUGCAUGUUCUUUUUAGGUUUGUGUGUCUGCUGUGGUGUGCAGAUUUUGUUCCUAUGUUAUAGAGGGGGAACUGAUUAUUUCAGCUGUCUGAAAUAUUCUGUCCCGCCCUAUAACUCUGGCAUAUAAAGAGCAAAUGUUUCCAAAUUCACAGGAAUAGUUGUCCAUGAGGAGAGGAAUAAACACAAUGAAGGA